AUGAGUAAGGGACUGAAAGUUUCUUCUGAGUUUUAUCUCCAAAAAAACCCAGUAUACAAUAUCAGCAAUCACAGCUUGCACCAGCAUCGCGAAUUGUGGGAAGUUUUUAAGUGGGCCAAUGAACAGUAUAAGGGUUUUUAAGCAUCUCCCUCGGUCGUGUGAAGCCAUGGCCUUGUUGCUUGUCCAUGUGGGGAUGCUUAGGGAAGCUGAAUUCUUGCUUUGUAAAAUUGAAAGUCAAGGAAUUUCAUUGGAUAGUCACGAAAUUUUCAGUUAGUGAUUGAAGCUUAUGUUGGUGAGGAUGAAUUAGAAAGAGCUAUUAUUGUGUAUGAUCAAAUGAGGGGGCAGGGUUUAGUGCCAUCUAUGAUGCGUUGUUGUGUUCUUGAUAUUUUGGUUCGAAAGAAGAAAAUUCAAUUGGCAUAUCAAGUUUGUUGGGACAUGUUGGAGAUGAAUGUUAAUUUGAGUGGUGCAGAGAAAGCUAGUUUGGAGAAUGUCAUUAGACUACUUUGUAGGGAUGGAAAGAUUCAAGAAGGAAGAAAUCUUGUCAAGAGGGCUGUGGUUUCUAGUUUGGAGCCUAGUUAUUAAUGAAAUUGCUCAUGGGUACCGUGAGAAGAAGGACUUUGAGGAUCUGCUGAGUUUCUUUGCUGAGAUGAAGCGUGCCCCAACUGUUAUUGCUGGUAAUAAGGUUAUACAUUGUGUAUGUAGCAAUUCAGGCACAGAAAGGUCAGACUUGUUUUUGCGAGAAUUGGAAGAUUUGGGUUUCAAUCCUGAUGAAAUAACCUUUGGGAUUUUGAUUGGUUGGAAUUGUCAUGAAGGGAAACUGAAAAAUGCCUUCGUCUAUAUGUCAGAAAUGUUGACUAAAUCCCUGAAACCUAAUAUAUGUUCCUAUAAUGCUCUUCUCAGUGGGGUUCUUAAGGAAGGCAUGUGGAAGCAUGCCCAAGACAUCCUUGACGAAAUGGUUUAUCAGGGGACACCACCUAAUGCAUCAACUUUCAGAAUACUAUUAGCAGGAUUUUGUGAAGGUAGACAAUUUGAUGAAGUGAAAAUGAUGGUUUGCAAGAUAGCUAGCCAUGGUUUUCUUCAGCGCUCUUCAUUGGAGGAUCCACAUUCCAAAGCAUUUAUGGUCUUGGGGUUAAAUCCAUCAGCUGUGAGGUUGAAAAGGGACAAUGAUGCAGGAUUUUCUAAAACAGAGUUUCUCUAUAAUCUUGGGAAUGGUCCCUACUUAGAUACAGACCUGGAUGAGUAUGAUAAAACAGUCGCCAGGGUUCUUGAAGAUUCCAUGAUACCUGAUUAACUCACUAGUAAUGCAGAAGCAGAAAUACGGUCAUGGAAAUUUUAGAGCUGCAUUGGAACUGGUAAAUGUACAUUUCCUUUACAUUGUGCGCUAAUGAAAGGGUUUUGUAUGACAGGCAACAUUCAAUAAGUAUCCACUCUAUUCCAGGAUAUGUUUUUGAAGGGGCUACUUCCAGAUGCAGAAAUUUAUAACAUGCUGAUACAAGGGCAUUAUCAAGUGAAAAACAUGAGGAAAGUUGAGAAGCUACUUGGUAUUAUUAUAAGAAAAAAUUUAGGCCUCUCAAUCUCAAGUUACUAGAAUUUGGUGCGCUUGAUGUUUUUGGAGGGUAGGGUCCUUCCUGCGUUGAGUCUGAAGGAGCUUAUGCUUGGACAAAGAUAUUCAAAUGACCUCAUCAUCUACAACAUUUUGAUAUGCUCUCUUUCUGCAACAGGGAACAGUUCACUUGUAAAUAAAAUAUUAGAUGAAUUGCAAGAGAAGGAACUGCAAGCCAAUGAAGUCACUUAUAAUUUUCUUGUGUAUGGAUUUUCUGAGUGUAAAGAUGUAUCGAGUACUGUGCACUGGCUGUCUAUGAUGAUUUCUAAUGAAAUUAGACCUAGUAAUCGGAGCUUGAGAGCAGUAAUUAGCAGCUUGUGUAAUGUUGGUGAUCUUGGAAAAGCCUUGCAGUUGAGUCAAGAAAUGGAAUCAAGAGGUUGGGUUCAUGGUUCAAGCAUCCAAAACGCAAUUGUUGGGGGCCUUCUUUCCCAUGGUAAGCUUCAAGAAGCAGAAGAUCUGUUGGACAGGAUGGUAGAGAAAUGCCUAAUUCCUGACAAUAUCAAUUAUGAUAAUCUAAUUAACUGCUUUUGUUGGUAUGGGAGACUGAACAAGGCUGUUGAUCUUAUGAACACAAUGCUGAAGAAAUGAAAUGUUCCGAAUUCUACUAGUUAUUAUUCAGUAAUUCAAGGUUUUUGUACCCAGAAUAGAUUGAAUGAAGCUAUGGAUUUUUAGACUGAAAUGUUGUGUAAGAAUCUUAAGUAGAGCAUUAACACUUCAGGCAUGCUCAUCCAUGCUUCAGCCAAAAUGGUCGAACUUCAGAAGCUGAAGAUUUUCUAAUUUCUAUCCUUCAGGUUGGUGAAAGUCCAACGAGGGAGAUGUACUCCUCUGUAAUUAAUAGGUAUCGCUUAGAAGACAAUCUCAAUAAGGCAUCAGAGUUCAUUCAAGUGAUGCAACAAAGGGGUUAUGAGUCAGACCUUGAGACACACUGGUCCCUUAUAAGCAAUUUCAGUGACAAGGACAAUUGCGACAGCAACCAGGGCUUUCUGUCAAGGCUUCUUUCUGUAAGUGGAUUUGCUGGGAAAAGGGGUUCCAACGCCAAGGGGUAAUUCGGCAAACAUGAAACUGGGAUUUUGAGUGCUAUUCAUUUUUUUUUUUUUUAUGUUGUAAGUUGGUUGUGCUUACAAACCUCAUACUAGUCUAAAUUUUAAGAUUGCAUUCGGUGGUGCCGGUACUCGGAUGUUAUCUGAGGCUAUUGCAAAGUAGGUGAUCAAGUUCGCCAGUCUUAAUUGAAAGCUCUAACUUUAUUCAGAAAUGUUAAACGUCAAUUUUCAUUUUCCAUUCCAUGUCAUGGCCAGAAUGAUCAGUUAUGAUGUCAAUAGGCUGAGUUUUUUCUGAGGUGGUCAGCUUUGGUGAGACCCCAAAAUUUGAUCUUAUAAAAUAGUGCAUUAUAGUUUUGAAACCUUCCUACAGCCAGUUGGCAUGGAACAGUGUAUUAUACUAAUUUUUUAACAAAGACGAAAUUCUUCAUGUGUUCAGUGUUUAGCUUUUGUUGCAAUAUGUUUUACAUUGUCAUUGGUGAUGAUGCCAUUGCCAAUAAAAAAAAAUCAUUUGAUAUAGCUGCAAUCUGUUCAGUCAUUUCUUCAACCACCUAGCACACGUGCCUAUAUAAACAUAGAAACUUCAAUGAAAUAUGUUACUGAAGAUCUUCUAGAGUUCUAGAGAACCAGCUACGAAGCCUGUCAAGUUUCUAGGUUAUAAUCUAUUCUAAAACAAAGUUCACAAGAGGUUAUGUAAAGAUUUACACUUUUACAACCAAAAAAAGAAAAGAAAUAAACCCUGAAAGAUAAAUGUUACAGAGAAACCAAAUCCUAAAGAAAAUAUGCAGAAUUAAAAUUGAAACCAAUCAGCAAAAAUUUCAAAACAAUCAAAUGCACAAAUGGGUGUGCAAAAACUCAAUUUUGGAUUAAAAUAAUUCACCAGACAGUUCUUUCAAACAAUCAUUUCAGAUGGUAUGCAUAGAAAUCCAAAAGAAACAAGGCAAAAGCGGGCAUGCAUAAAAAGACAACUGAAUUAACUGAACCCACCAAACAAUAAUGCAAAAAAAACAAUCGAAUCCACAAGUGGGUAUGCACAAAUUUCAAUUCCUGAAUAAAAUU